rnacentral:tRNA from 1 species
GGAGUUGUAGCUCAGUGGUACAGCACUUGCCUAGCAUGUGAGAGGCACUGGGUUCAAACCUCAGCACCA